rnacentral:rRNA from 1 species
UACGGAGGGUGCGAGCGUUGUCCGGAAUCAUUGGGCGUAAAGGGCGCGUAGGUGGCCCGGUCAGUUCGUGGUGAAAGCGCGGGGCUCAACCCCGCGUCGGCCAUGAAUACUGCUGGGCUGGAGCACUGUAGAGGCAGGCGGAAUUCCAGGUGUAGCGGUGAAAUGCGUAGAUAUCUGGAGGAAUACCGGUGGCGAAGGCGGCAUCCUGGACCGGCAUUGACGCUGAUGAGCGAAAGCUAGGGGGAGCAAACGGGG